AACGAACGCUGGCGGCAUGCCUAACACAUGCAAGUCGAACGAGACCUUCGGGUCUAGUGGCGCACGGGUGCGUAACGCGUGGGAACCUGCCCUUAGGUUCGGAAUAACUCCCCGAAAGGGGUGCUAAUACCGGAUAAUGUCUUCGGACCAAAGAUUUAUCGCCUUUGGAUGGGCCCGCGUUGGAUUAGCUAGUUGGUAGGGUAAAAGCCUACCAAGGCGACGAUCCAUAGCUGGUCUGAGAGGAUGAUCAGCCACACUGGGACUGAGACACGGCCCAGACUCCUACGGGAGGCAGCAGUGGGGAAUAUUGGACAAUGGGCGAAAGCCUGAUCCAGCAAAGCCGCGUGAGUGAUGAAGGCCUUAGGGUUGUAAAGCUCUUUUACCCGGGAUGAUAAUGACAGUACCGGGAGAAUAAGCGCCGGCUAACUCCGUG
rnacentral:rRNA from 1 species